AUUGAACGCUGGCGGCAUGCCUUACACAUGCAAGUCGAACGGCAGCACGGGGGCAACCCUGGUGGCGAGUGGCGAACGGGUGAGUAACACAUCGGAACGUGCCCAGUAGUGGGGGAUAGCUCGGCGAAAGCCGGAUUAAUACCGCAUACGACCUACGGGUGAAAGCGGGGGAUCGCAAGACCUCGCGCUAUUGGAGCGGCCGAUGUCAGAUUAGGUUGUUGGCGGGGUAAAGGCCACCAAGCCGACGAUCUGUAACUGGUCUGAGAGGACGACCAGCCACACUGGGACUGGGACACGGCCCAGACUCCUACGGGAGGCAGCAGUGGGGAAUUUUGGACAAUGGGCGCAAGCCUGAUCCAGCCAUGCCGCGUGCGGGAAGAAGGCCU
rnacentral:rRNA from 1 species